AUUGAACGCUGGCGGCAGGCCUAACACAUGCAAGUCGAACGAGUGGCGGACGGGUGUGUAAUGUCUGUGAAACUGCCUGAUUGAGGGGGAUAACUACUGGAAACGGUAGCUAAUCCCGCAUACCAUCGGAUGUGCCCAGAUGGGAUUAGCUAGUAGGUGGGGUAAAGGGUCACCUAGGCGACGAUCCCUAGCUGGUCUGAGAGGAUGACCGGCCACCCUGGAACUGAGGCACGGUGCAGACGCCUACGGGAGGCAGCAGUGGGGCAGAUUGCACAAUGGGCGCAAGCCUGAUGCAGCCAUGCCGCGUGGAUGAAGAAGGCCUUCGGGUUGUAAAGUACUUUCAGCGGGGAGGCGUUACCCGCAGAAGAAGCACCGGCUAACUCCGUGCCAGCAGCCGCGGUAAUAC
rnacentral:rRNA from 1 species